rnacentral:rRNA from 1 species
AUGACAAACAGGGUUGGCCCUGUAGGUCAUAGGCUUCUAUCUCCAUGUCAAUCUACUUUUGUAAGAGGCCGGUUUAAUUUAGAAAGUGUGGUCACUGCCCAUGAGGCCAUUCGUGAAGUUCAUAAAUCAAAUGAGCAUGGGAUUGUUCUCAAAAUAGAUUAUGAAAAAGCUUAUGAUCGGGUGAACUGGGAUUUCCUAGUAGAGAUGCUAACUUCUAGGGGUUUUGGAGCUAAAUGGAUUAGGUGGAGCCUCUCCAUUUUGCAACAAAGCUCUUUCUGUGUCAAAAUUAAUGAUGUCCUAGGACCUUACUUUGUAGGGGGGAAAGGACUUAAGCAAGGAGAUCCGAGCUCCCCCAUGCUUUUCAAUUUGGUGGCUGAUGUGUUCUCUCGAAUGCUGGCCAAAGCUGUUAACAGCAACAUUAUCUCUGGGAUUGUUCCCCAUAUCAUCCCACAAGGACUUAUAUGUUUGCAGUAUGUUGAUGAUACAAUCCUCUUUCUUAAUCCUAAACCUGAAUAUGUUAAGAAUCUAAAAUGGCUCCUGGAAUGUUUCGAAAACCUUUCUGGGUUGAAGAUUAACUAUGCCAAAUGUGAGGUGGUGCCAGUUAAUAUGAAUGAAGAUGAUGCUAAGUUACUUUCCCAAAUCUUUUGCUGUAAGUUGGGGGAUUUCCCUCUGAAAUAUCUAGGAGUUCCACUACACUACCUCAAGCUGAGGAGAGAAGACAUUCAAUAUAUCAUAGACAAAAUUAUCAAGAGGAUCUGUGGCUGGAAAGGGAGACUACUUAGCUAUGAAGCGAAGUUAGUCCUCCUCAAAGCAUGCAUUGCCAGUGUUCCUAUGUAUCUAAUGUCUGUCAUCCAAUUCCCCAAAUGGGCGAUCAAGGCCAUCACUUCACAGAUGGCUCAUUUCUUUUGGGGGAACCUGGGAGAUGAACAUAAGUAUCAUCUUGCUAACUGGGGGCUAAUCUCUCAGAAAAAGGAUUUUGGUGGUUUGGGAGUGCCCAAUUUAAGGGAAUUUAACAUGGCUCUGCUAGCCUCUUGGGCAAAAUGGUACUUUAUGGACAGUGAUAAAAACUGGGUGAGGCUGGUUGAUCACAAAUAUAGAACUGACAAACCCAAUGUACUGUAG